rnacentral:rRNA from 1 species
GAUGAACGUUAGCGGGAGGCUUAAUACAUGCAAGUCUAGCGGUAAGUUUUUAUAGCAAUAUGAAGACCUAGAGCGGCGCACGGGUGAGUAACGCGUACACGACCUGGCCUAAACUGGGGGAUAGCCUUGGGAAACUGAGAGUAAUCCCGCAUGUGAUUAUGUUACUGAUGGUGAUAUAAUUAAAGCUUCGGCGGUUUAGGAUGGGUGUGCGUCUGAUUAGCUAGUUGGUAGUGUAACGGACUACCAAGGCGAUGAUCAGUAGGGGGCGUGAGAGCGUGACCCCCCCACACGGGUACUGAGACACGGACCCGACUCCUACGGGAGGCAGCAGUAAGGAAUAUUGGUCAAUGCCCGGAAGGGUGAACCAGCCAUCCCGCGUG